rnacentral:rRNA from 1 species
GACGAACGCUGACGGCGUGCUUAACACAUGCAAGUCGAACGCGCCUGUCCUCUGGGUUUCUGGGGGGUGGGUGAGUGGCGAACGGGUGAGUAACACGUGAGUAACCUGCCCCCUUCUUCGGGAUAACGGUCUGAAAGGGCUGCUAAUACCGGGUAUUCACUGGUCUCCGCAUGGGGUCUGGUGGAAAGGUUUUUUUCUGGUGGGGGAUGGGCUCGCGGCCUAUCAGCUUGUUGGUGGGGUGAUGGCCCACCAAGGCUUUGACGGGUAGCCGGCCUGAGAGGGUGACCGGUCACAUUGGGACUGAGAUACGGCCCAGACUCCUACGGGAGGCAGCAGUGGGGAAUAUUGCACAAUGGGCGCAAGCCUGAUGCAGCGACGCCGCGUGAGGGAUGGAGGCCUUCGGGUUGUGAACCUCUUUCGCCCGUGGUCAAGCCGCGACGUGGGUCGUGGUGAGGGUAGUGGGUAAAGAAGCGCCGGCUAACUACGUG